UGCUGGAGGUAUCAGAAGUGCGAAUGCUGACAUAAGUAACGAUAAAGCGGGUGAAAAGCCCGCUCGCCGGAAGACCAAGGGUUCCUGUCCAACGUUAAUCGGGGCAGGGUGAGUCGACCCCUAAGGCGAGGCCGAAAGGCGUAGUCGAUGGGAAACGGGUUAAUAUUCCCGUACUUGGUGUUACUGCGAAGGGGGGACGGAGAAGGCUAUGUUGGCCGGGCGACGGUUGUCCCGGUUUAAGCGUGUAGGUGUGUGUUCCAGGUAAAUCCGGUUCACUUUAACACUGAGGCGUGACGACGAGGCACUACGGUGCUGAAGCAACAAAUGCCCUGCUUCCAGGAAAAGCCUCUAAGCAUCAGGUAACAUCAAAUCGUACCCCAAACCGACACAGGUGGUCAGGUAGAGAAUACCAAGGCGCUUGAGAGAACUCGGGUGAAGGAACUAGGCAAAAUGGUGCCGUAACUUCGGGAGAAGGCACGCUGACACGUAGGUGAAGUGAUUUACUCACGGAGCUGAAGUCAGUCGAAGAUACCAGCUGGCUGCAACUGUUUAUUAAAAACACAGCACUGUGCAAACACGAAAGUGGACGUAUACGGUGUGACGCCUGCCCGGUGCCGGAAGGUUAAUUGAUGGGGUCAGCGCAAGCGAAGCUCCUGAUCGAAGCCCCGGUAAACGGCGGCCGUAACUAUAACGGUCCUAAGGUAGCGAAAUUCCUUGUCGGGUAAGUUCCGACCUGCACGAAUGGCGUAAUGAUGGCCAGGCUGUCUCCACCCGAGACUCAGUGAAAUUGAACUCGCUGUGAAGAUGCAGUGUACCCGCGGCAAGACGGAAAGACCCCGUGAACCUUUACUAUAGCUUGACACUGAACAUUGAGCCUUGAUGUGUAGGAUAGGUGGGAGGCUUUGAAGUGUGGACGCCAGUCUGCAUGGAGCCGACCUUGAAAUACCACCCUUUAAUGUUUGAUGUUCUAACGUGGACCCGUUACCCGGGUUGCGGACAGUGUCUGGUGGGUAGUUUGACUGGGGCGGUCUCCUCCUAAAGAGUAACGGAGGAGCACGAAGGUUGGCUAAUCCUGGUCGGACAUCAGGAGGUUAGUGCAAUGGCAUAAGCCAGCUUGACUGCGAGCGUGACGGCGCGAGCAGGUGCGAAAGCAGGUCAUAGUGAUCCGGUGGUUCUGAAUGGAAGGGCCAUCGCUCAACGGAUAAAAGGUACUCCGGGGAUAACAGGCUGAUACCGCCCAAGAGUUCAUAUCGACGGCGGUGUUUGGCACCUCGAUGUCGGCUCAUCACAUCCUGGGGCUGAAGUAGGUCCCAAGGGUAUGGCUGUUCGCC
rnacentral:rRNA from 1 species